GAAAAUUGUUUAAACGUUUCAUUAGUGAUUUCUUGUUUAAAAUUUCCUAUGCAAGUUAUAGUGUUCCUUUUCAGACCAGCCUUGUAUUCACUGUAACAAAAAGCCCUAAAGAUGUAAAUAAAGCCCUUUAGGUUUGCAACUAGUUAAAUUAAACUCACAAAGGUGAACAUGCUACAAACAAAACUAAAUCAAUUCCAUGAAGCUAGUCUAUACACCUUGCAAGGUGAAGAGGCUGGAGAUGGCAGUAAAAGCAAUGAGGAUGAGAUGGCAGUAAAAGUAAUGCAGGACUAAUUCUGAGUAGAAUGUCUUUUUGGUGGUUCUACUGAAGAAGGGUAAACUGAAAGUUCUUGAGCAUGCAGAUUGUCCGGAGACAUGUUAAUCCAUGCUUAUGGGGCAGCUGACAGCACAGACAAAGAAAGGAACUUCCUGCAAGCUUUUCCUGGUUCCCCUCAACCACAAUUCCACACAUUUACACAAAGAUUUAAGUGUUCAUCAAAAUCGACAACUAGUACGCUCCAAGUAAUUAAGAGUUUAGGUCGUUUAUUUCAUCAGUUCUUCAAGCACAGUUCAGAUUCGGGGUAAAGAACAUUGUAGAGCUUACUUCUUGCACAUGUAACAUUGUUGCGCUGCUUAGCCAGCAGCUCCACUGCCUCAGAACAGCCUCCGCAACGACAAUACUCUGUCUACCUCUUUUGUUUAGAGGUUGUUUCAUUUUCCUGCCAAGAGAGAGUUGAAAUAGGAUGUCAGCAGAAUUAGGUAACCUUCCCAAUUGAUUCAACCAUAAAUGAACUUUUACUAAGCCAAAAAAGAAUAAAACUUCAUUCAGAAGAGCUCAAUUAGACAAAGCAAAUACACAAUAAAUUUAUAAUGACAUGCAAUUGAAACUUUUACAUGUGCAGACUAAUUUGAAUUAUAUUAACCCAUUUCUCUUUACUUGUUUUAGUUCAUGACAUCCAAUUUAAAUGCCAGAAACCAUAUGACCAGCUGCUUAUUCAUUCUGAGGAUGGCACGAUGGGGUGAAUUAAAUUUGAGGAAAUAAGACACAUAGCCCUGCAAAAGCAUUUUGAGAGAAGCACAAACAAAUAUGAGCUAUGAGGCUUAACCUUUCACAAAAGCAAGCUGCAAAUUGUCUCUUGGCCAGAGGGCAGGAUACUGUUGCCGCACCAGAUUAACCUCAACCAAGCUAGAUAUUCGAGCCUAGCCUGAAAGGAUGCAGAGGGAAUCAGAACUGAAACGAUGCAUAUAGUCCAGGGUAGGAUCAAUAUUUGGGCGGAAGAGGGAGCUGAAAAGUCAUGGAGGUCGCAAAGGCAUGCAGUUCCCAGGGAAGGGAGGGAUUGGAAGCGAAGGGNUCUUUUUGGUGGUUCUACUGAAGAAGGGUAAACUGAAAGUUCUUGAGCAUGCAGAUUGUCCGGAGACAUGUUAAUCCAUGCUUAUGGGGCAGCUGACAGCACAGACAAAGAAAGGAACUUCCUGCAAGCUUUUCCUGGUUCCCCUCAACCACAAUUCCACACAUUUACACAAAGAUUUAAGUGUUCAUCAAAAUCGACAACUAGUACGCUCCAAGUAAUUAAGAGUUUAGGUCGUUUAUUUCAUCAGUUCUUCAAGCACAGUUCAGAUUCGGGGUAAAGAACAUUGUAGAGCUUACUUCUUGCACAUGUAACAUUGUUGCGCUGCUUAGCCAGCAGCUCCACUGCCUCAGAACAGCCUCCGCAACGACAAUACUCUGUCUACCUCUUUUGUUUAGAGGUUGUUUCAUUUUCCUGCCAAGAGAGAGUUGAAAUAGGAUGUCAGCAGAAUUAGGUAACCUUCCCAAUUGAUUCAACCAUAAAUGAACUUUUACUAAGCCAAAAAAGAAUAAAACUUCAUUCAGAAGAGCUCAAUUAGACAAAGCAAAUACACAAUAAAUUUAUAAUGACAUGCAAUUGAAACUUUUACAUGUGCAGACUAAUUUGAAUUAUAUUAACCCAUUUCUCUUUACUUGUUUUAGUUCAUGACAUCCAAUUUAAAUGCCAGAAACCAUAUGACCAGCUGCUUAUUCAUUCUGAGGAUGGCACGAUGGGGUGAAUUAAAUUUGAGGAAAUAAGACACAUAGCCCUGCAAAAGCAUUUUGAGAGAAGCACAAACAAAUAUGAGCUAUGAGGCUUAACCUUUCACAAAAGCAAGCUGCAAAUUGUCUCUUGGCCAGAGGGCAGGAUACUGUUGCCGCACCAGAUUAACCUCAACCAAGCUAGAUAUUCGAGCCUAGCCUGAAAGGAUGCAGAGGGAAUCAGAACUGAAACGAUGCAUAUAGUCCAGGGUAGGAUCAAUAUUUGGGCGGAAGAGGGAGCUGAAAAGUCAUGGAGGUCGCAAAGGCAUGCAGUUCCCAGGGAAGGGAGGGAUUGGAAGCGAAGGGGUGCAGAGGGUAAAAAUAUCAUUAUACAUAGAACAAAUUUGCUCUAUUAAAAUGUGAAGUUCUCAUACAAUAGAUUUAGUAGAUCCCCUGCAACAAUGUAUUUGAACCUUGAAAAAGGGAUUUGUACUAAUCUAUUCCAGGACUAGCUAGAACCGACAGUUAAACACUAAUGAUACAGUUUAGACAAAGCACUUGUACUUCUGACAGAUGAUCCAAAGUUCUAACUUAUAUCAGACUAUAUCAAUGGAAUGGAUAAGAUUGGAAUGGAUAAGAUUGCGCGAAAAGUAAGGUACAUUCGGCAAGUAGUUGUUAGUGUGUCAUCAUAUAUAAACGACUUUAUUGAGUGAGGUUUCAGCAACAAGUUGGUAAAUAAAGUAGCAAAAGAUAUGUAAAAUUCAGUAAAUGGUACAAAUAAGAACUAGUAGGAAAAUACAACAAAAGUUGAAAUUUCAGAUAAACAUAAAAGAAACUAAAACAGCCACAGGACUAGUGCAAAGACAGAAAGGAUAAAUUCAACUACACAAGUCAUCUGACUUCUAAAUUAACUUCAAGAAAAAUAUUGCACAAACACAUUAAUCUUCAUAGAACUCAAAUAUAUAAGUAACGCAGUAGCUUAAAUUCUUUACCGGAAAAUGAGCAGCAAGGAACAAACUUCUGUAUUCUAUUCUACUUGCUUUCAAAAAUCAGGAAUAUUAAUUGACAAACAUUGUAACAAAAACUAGUAAAAGUGUUGCAAAAUCAAAAUCAAAAGUAGUCUAUCAUUCUUGAGUAGUUGACCGAUGAGUAAAAAGAACCAAACUUCAGUAUUCUCUUAUAUUUCUUUUAGAAUUCCUGAAUACCUUGAAAUUCCAUCUGCAAAUUAACAAAUUCAUGUAUCAAAAAUGAGUACAAAUGCCACCAAAUGCAUAUUAGUACAAAAAUUGUAGAAGUGUUAUUGCGAAAAAAUUCAGUCGAAGUAUAGGCUUCCGUAAAGAGGCAGAUAAAAAAAAACGGCAGGAGAAAUAAUAUGAUCAAACAUUCACGACCAGUGUUACCAAUUUUGUAUGUUCUUGUCAUUGAUGGACUUCGGCUACGCCAUUUACUUUGCUCGCUUUGAAACCUUAUCACCAACCUCCUCUGCCGCACGUUUAUUUUCAUGUUUAACCUAUUACCAAUAAAUGUACUUGACCAAAUAAAAAAAUUAUAGAACAAUAUUAAAAAUUAAAAUGGCAAUGCAGUAAAAUGGCAAUGCAGUAAUAGGUACAAAAUCGACCAAGUAAAAAGUGUUUAGGACUCGGCCUCAAAGACCAUCAAGUUUAUUCUUCAAACUAUCUUUCUCCUUUCAAAGACACCAAAUUUCAAUCUAAAUAAACAAAAACAAAGAGGAAAAACAGAGAGAGGGUCUUCCAGUACCAAAAUAGAUGAAGCAGGAACGAUACGAUUAUCAGGAUCAGAGUCCAAGUUGGGCCUUUCCUCUAUGGGUUCAGUACGAGUAUGGUCCUCUUGAGGGGCAGCAUUGAGAGGGAAUUCAAGUUUUUUUCCUCAUCUUUAGAGGAAUUCUCCUUGCUGAUUUUGGAUUCUUCUUCUGCAAUGGUUUCAUCAGAGUCGGAGUCGGACAAGUAAGACGAGUCAGUGGAGGAGGAGUCAUCGGAGAAAUGCCUCUUAGUGUAAUACAAUCUGACUGGGAAUGGUUCUAGUGCAUUGCUGUCAUCAAAGGCCUCGUCCGCAGUUUCAGGAAGUUUUUUCUCGGUUUGAAUUUCUGAUUCUUCUCCCACAAUAACUUCAGAAUCGGAGUCAGAGUCAGAGUCUAAAACGCUAAAGGAGCCAGUGGAGGAGUCACUCGAAAAUUAUCUCUUAGUGGGAUACAGUUUCACCGGAAAGGUUUUCACCUUACUAUAGUCAAAGGGGGGUUCAUCGCCAUCAGUGACAAUAGUUUCAGGUUUUUCUACAUUAGUUCCUACACAUAAUUCAAUUAUCCAUCAAAGUCCACAAAUUUAAUUCAUAAUUGUACCCGUAAAUUCACCUUUGCAAAUUUAUUACUAGCCUGUGGCAAAAAUUCAGCCUUUUCCGAUGGAUGUUUAUUGUUGUGUUCUGACAUAAACAAGUAACGAAUUCAUGUAAAACUACAUAAUGGGCUUGGAUUCAAACAAAGCAUAAAUUGCAUAAUAUAUAUAACUGCGGGACCUUUUUUUUCAAAAACUACACUGGCCUAGCCCUUGAGUAGUUCCGCCUGCAACUCAUACAACAUAAUAAUAAUAAUAACAAUACUAUUCAUUGUCUUACAAAUAUAUGUAAUUCUCACUCCACAAAUCUUGGAUUAUGCUCCAACUCAUAAUAACUCAAUUUGAUAUAAUUAUUACUCUUGAGAGUCAAUACAACAUAGUUUCUGAGGAAAUGCAAAAGAAAAGGAAAAUCUCCUCUUAUUCUUAUUCUUAAUCCACUAGCUCUGAUUUUCUGCUUUCCUUUUCCCUUCUACCUUUAUGCAAGAGAGGGUUCUCCUUUAAUAGCAAAAGGUGUAAAAAAUAUAGCAAGGGUGAGCAUCGACGACACUCAGCAAGUCCAACUCUUUACCAUCAAAGAAAAAUAAAAACAAAAGUUUUGUUCUAAAUUUCACUGCACUCUAUGAAGGCUCGACUUCCACUAAUCAGAAUAUUAUUUAACAAAAUAUUGUUGGAUUUUUGUUUUAUAGAACCAAUAACAUAAGAAUAUAUUUGUGAAAUCUUUUUAUAUCUUUAAAUAUUUAAUAUUUAAAGCAGAUGAGAAAAAAAAAAAGCUGCAGAUAAUGUGUUGGUUUUAUUGAUGUGAAACUCCUAGAUUGAAUGACUAUAUUUAUUGAGAUAGUCAUAAAUAAAAUUAAAGCUGAGGGAGUUAUAUUUAUUGAGAACACAUUAUAUAUAGAGAGGCAUAUUAAUUUGUAUGUGAUGUACAAGAAAAGCUUCUAAGUUUUCUCACGACACAAAUGCUAUACACAAUUAUGAAAUCUUGUUCCUAAGUAAUUAGGAAGGAUACCAAUAUUGCUAGUUGCCAUCUUCAUACUUUGUUGUAUCCUGUAGGAAUAAUUUCGCUAGUAACCUCUUAGCAAAUUGUUAAACAAUUGGGGCGAAAUAAAUCCUUAAAGAAAGUGAUAGUAUCACGCCUCAAAGCAAUUUGUUCUAAUUAUUUUUGCAGGAAGUUGGUGUUCUAAAAGUUCCAUCUACCAAUUGUUCGGUCAACAAAUAUGUCAUCUCUUACUCUAAAGAAAGUCUAGUACAACGACAACCUGUCAGACUGUUUAAGAUAUGACACUUUAGAAUGCUUGUCUCCGCUUGUACUAUAAGCCUAGGCAUGUUCAACUCAGGCUUCUAAAGCAAAAUGAUAACACACUGACUAAUUAACACUUACAACUCUGUCUCUCUCAACCAUGGUCUGAGUUCACAGAAUUCCAUGUUGAAUUGUAAGAAUCAAAACUUCCUGGAGGAUUCAGAAAGAAAUAAUUUUAAUAAAAUUCUCAAACUACUCAUCAAGACAUAUCACCAAUCUUCUUGAUAAUUACACUAUAGACCAGUACAAUGGAUUAAGUAAGAAAUUUAAGUAAUGGUUGCUGGACUUGAACAAAAUUUUAAUAAAAUUCUCAAACUACUCAUCAAGACACCAAUCUUCUUGAUAAUUACACUAUAGACCAGUACAAUGGAUUAAGUAAGAAAUUUAAGUAAUGGUUGCUGGACUUGAACAAAAUUUUAAUAAAAUUCUCAAACUACUCAUCAAGACAUAUCACCAAUCUUCUCGAUAAUUACACUAUAGAGCAGCACAAUGGAUUGAGUAAGAAAUUUAAAUAAUGGUUGCUGGACUUGAACAAUAAAUCUAACAAAUAAAUAAAAUUCUUAGUAUCUCAAAUGAUGAGACUAUUAGACAUUUUAUUAUUGAUGAGUCAUGUCAACCACGUUUAAAGAAAAUAGAACUGGUUAACUAUUUACUUCAUUAAAAGGAGGUGUUUUGAAUAAGUGGGAGCAUUUGAGUAUCUACUACUACAAUUUGCCCUAGGCACCGGUUAAAAUCCGACGUGUCUGUAAAUUUUGAUUGAUGUCUUCGUGCCUGAUCUUAAAUGUAUGGCCUUUAGACACCGGCUUAUAACUGAUGUCAAUGGUACAAUUAGACAUUUUUUUCCAAUAAAUUUGACGUCUUAAGCUCAAACAUGAAAAUAUAUUGCAAGAUUUCAACUUGAAUAAUGCAUUAUAACAAGUUAUAGAAUCCCUUCAACACAUACAUCAUAAUGUAUAUUAAGCCAUUCUGGAACUCUCCGCUCAAACCCGAGAAGAAACAUAUAUUAAAUAAAUUGCUCAAGUAUUAUAAUUUGGUUGCAAACUAGUUAUAGUAUGUUAUGUAAUGCUAUAUCCAUGUAUUACAAGACAUAUCUCAAUUCACAGGAAUAUAUUAUUUAGGCAUGUACAUCUACACAUAAUAAUUUAUUUACAUGGAGCAAACAUUUUUUUUCCUUUGCAACUAACUGCUUCUGAAUCACGCAGUGCACAUACAAGUAGAACUCUAUAUAUUGUGCAGCAGGCAUGGCAUCACAUGUCAAAUUCUACAUUCCAACAGCUACGAUGUUACAGUCUCGAGGAUAAAAUGCUACGAAGGUCGGUAUUGGUGGAGUUGACAUGAAUGUAGCCAUAACCUACAUAUCAAGACACAUGAUAAGUUAAAUAAGGGUAUGAUACUCAAGGGAUUAGUUGCAGAGUAUAUAAGCAUAUACACCUUGUAGGUGAGUAUAUUGAACAAUGAAACUUUUCCGCCACAAGCAGACAUGAUAUAAUUAGAGUCAUUCUUUAUUAGGGUAAUGCAGGGACAAGAUUUCUGGAGGUACCUGCAACAUCAUUGGCCAUAAGUAAACCACUACUUGGCUUCCAUAAAUGUGGAAGUUCUUUAGCGGUGGCCUGUAAAUCCCCAAAAAGAUCAUGUCAGGUCCUCCAGAUAUGUCAAGUUAAUAUAUAUUUUAAUAAAAGAAAUGAAACAAGAGUAAACUGUAUAUUUUUCAACACCUGCAACAUCAUUGGCCAUAUAUAAGAAAUGAACAUAUUCUGAUAUCACUUGUAGGGUAACUAGUCAUAAUCCCAGAACAUGAUAUUGUUCAUUUUUGGGAGAAUUACAUAGAUUUGUCUUUGGACACAUUUCAAAACUAACAUUAGAUUUAUUUAUUGUUUAUUAAUUUUUAACCACAUUUCUCACAACAAAGGUUAGAUAAAUGUUUUUAUUUAAACUAUUGGUUCUCAUAAAAUCUCAUGGUAUUCGAGAAAGGGAUUAAGAAAAAUUAGGGGUGAAAUCCAAUAUUGAUAUAUCCAAUAUACAACGAAUGCUUAGUGAUGAAAUAAGAUGGUGGAAAUGUUAGGGGUUGCUUAUUUCAAGGGAUGCAAAAUAUCUAUGAUAUAUACCUAUGACACACACAUAUAUAAAUGUAAACUAAAUAGGAAAUAGAAGAAUGAGAGGUUUGUGGGGCCGGUUAUGGAUCCCCCAGUGGGCUUGGAUGGGGUCAAGGGGAGAUGAGGUGGUGCCUUGUGUGAGAAGGUUGAGCCUAUUGGUACUCUUUGGCAUGUAUUAGACGUGCUGAGAGCCUGAGACCCAUUUGAAACGGGUUUUAUUGGGACCGAGUUGGAUUUGGUGGGCCAAAAUGGGUCUAGUGGGGACUCAUGUCAUAAACAACAGUUUUUCCUUUUUUUUUUGUUUGGUUUCUAUUUAAUUAGUUUUUCUUUGACUAUUUGGGUAUGUAAGUAAAUCUUGCCUCACACACAAAAUAAAGAGACCCUCGUCACCGACAUCAAUUCUAAAUAUUCAAUUCCUAUGUAUUAACUAUAUUCUUGUCGAAUCAAAUGCAUAAUAAGAUUAAGAAGUCGUAUUAAAGGAAAAUUGUGUAACACGUAUAUGGUAAUUGUUAUCUACUCUAACACUAAUUAUUAUAUACUCUAAAACUACGAACCUUGAAGCUAAGAAAUAAAAAAAAAAAUAUUACUCAGUAUGUAGAAAAUAUUUGUCAUCAUGUCAAUAAUCCAUCUUUUUAAACUCACCGACCUUCAUUUGUAAUUUUGAUUUAUAUAUAAAUCAAAAUCAAAUUCAAUGUUUUGUAAUUUAGCAAAAGCUGGAAACUCGAAAGUUUCAAUUAAUCAAAACCAAACAAUAAAUGUUUAAACAAUAAUAAGAGACGAAAGUAUGAUACUAUUGUGUGAUAAUAAAAAUCUAAUAUCAUAACAAGUAUGAUGAACAAUAACAAGUUAACUAAUCUGGCAAUGGAGAUUUAAUUACUAGUUACCUCAAGAUGGAGUUCCCAUGUUGGAGGCCCAUCUUAUUAAGCCCUUUAUGAUGAGAUUGAUUGAACCGAGGCCCGUUAGGGAUAGACCGUAUAGCCCAAUUUAAAAUUGCCCGUGAACGCUUUGUUUUUUUAAGUAUGGGGACCUGAAGACGGAGCCAAAAUGGAUAUGAAAAGGACAUGCGUGUUUCUCCCUGGUUUUGCCCUACUUCGGCCGAAUUCCCCAAUUAUCAGGCACACACCGAAUGAAGUGGGGAAACACCGAUUUAAAUUAGUUCACGUUGGAGUAUACGAUAUAUUCGAUUUGAUACUCACAAGCCCUUAUACAAUUUUAAUUAGUGAACCUAAGUUAAGAUUUACUUAUUCUCAGAUCCGUGGAUAAAUAGCAAGUGAUUAAAUCACCAUGAAAGCACUCAUGCCCUCAUCACAUAUCACCAUUAAAGCAAUUAUGUCGAGUCAAUAAAACUCAUUAUGCUAUUUCUAAUUGAAUAAAUAUAAACAAAAUUCUACUAUUUCGCAAUGUGUAUAUUGUUGGAAGAAAUAAUCUCACUCAAACUCAUACAACUCAAAUAUCGAGGAAAGGAGGAUUUUAUAUAAAAAGCAUUGCUUGAAAUGACAUGACCACAAAUGAUAUGGUACAAGGCUUUAUAUAGGACUCUAUAGAAAGAUCUAGAUACUCGGUUAAAUGCUAAAAUCCAAAUUAAAGGACUCACCAGAACUUUCUAAUGAAAUAUAUUUUUAAAUAUAUCUUAUGUAAUUUUAUCCCCAUGCACUGAUUUGGAUUUUUAAAAAAAAUAUUUUCACGUUUUAUUGUAGUAAAUAAAGAAUUAUAAUUUUAGAAGGAUUUGUGAAAAAAAUAGCUAUUUUGUAGCUAAAUUCCAUGAAAAUUUAGAUUUUUUGGGCUAUACCCGAUUUUGAUAGAAUAUAUUUUUAUAUAUAUUGAAUAUGAUUUUAUUCUAAUAUUUAAUUGUAUUUUGCACUGAUUUUUAUUUAUAGAUUUUAAUUUUUUAUAGUAGAAAAUAAAGAAUUUCUAAGUUGAGAAGGAUUUGAGCAAAAAAGAGCUAUUUUUGGGUUAAAGGUUUUGGUAUGUGUCAUAAAAAGCUAAUCAAACAGCUAUUUACCAAAUAGUUUUACAAGAAACCGCUAAUUCAAUCCGCUAGUCAAAACAUCUAUUUCAAUCAUUUAGUCAAAACAUCUAAUUGAAUACGGUAACAGUUAAACGCUAAUUCUCAAACAGGACCCAUAAUUGCUUAGAUCUGUAGGGUCUUAAGUCUUAGUUUUAUAUGUGCCCACCAAUUCACACUUAGGGAAAUGGUUUGGUUCUCAACUUCAAAGGCAAGAAGAUCUAUAUAAAAAAUGCCAUAUACCAAUAAAAACAAGGAAAUAAGGUGUAUCUCAAAUUUAAUAUUAAUAGGAAAAACAACAUCCAAACUUCACAAAAUAUAAGUUGUGGAAGGCAGGAAGUAAAAAAAAACUAUCAAAACCUAGCUAGAGGGUAUGUUUCUAUCUUUCCAAACUAAUAAUAAAACUAAUUAUCUUCUUUGUUCCUAUCUCAAAUAAUAAUUAUAAUUUUAUUUUAAUUAAAAUAUAAAUAGAACUCAAAAAUCAAAUAGCAUUCUAGUUAAUAUUCGUAGUUUUCUUUUUCCUUCAAUUUACUCGCUUUUUGAGAUGGUUUUAUUAUUGGACCCUUUCUGAAUUAAAGAUGAUUUAAAAGGCUUCGUGUGGGCUAUAAAAUAGUCCAAAUCUGACUCUCCAAACCCAAAAUAUACCCACAACAGUUUAGAAAUCAAGUAUAGCCAGUGUUGUAAAAAGCGCAUUAAGCGGCCGAUUAAGCGGCCGCCUAAGCGGAAUCGGCCCUAAAACGCUUCGAUUUUGUACUAAGCGGGAUAUUAAGCAUUUUUGAAAAUUAAGCGGACAAUUAAGCGAUCGUUAAGCGGAUUAAACGGUAAUUAAGCGGUCAAAAUGAUGUUGACUUGCUAAUUUUUAAAAAAAAAUAAUUUUGAAAUAUUAAUUUUUUAAUAAUAUAACUAUAAUUAUAUUAUAAAAUUAAAAAAAAAUAUAUUUUAUCAAGAAUAUUAAAAAUGCAUAUUCUUAACACAACAUAAUAUUAUUUUUAAAUAUAUUAAUAUUAUAACUAAAUAUUUAAUUAUAUUUAAUUAAUCCGCUUAUUGACCCGCUUCAAAUCUCGCUUAUGCGUCCGCUUUACCGCUUAAGCGCUAGAAGGUCCUCCUGCCGCUUAGAACCGAUUUGCUCUUUUCACAACACUAAGUAUAGCACAAUAAAUUUGAAUUUCCAUAGAAUUUAACUCCAAAAUAUCUAUUUUUCCCCUAAUCCAUCUCAAAUUAUUAUUCCUUGUUUUCUAUAAUAAAACGUGAAAAUAUAUUAAAUAAAAAUCUAAAUUAGUGCAAAAUGCAAAUAAUUAUGGGAAUUAAAUUACAUAAAAUAUAUAUAAAACUAUAUUUUAUUAGAAAGUUCUAGUGAGUCAUUUGGAUUCUAGCAUUUAACUAAGUGUCUAGAUCUUUCUACCGACUCCUAUAUAAAGCCUUGUACCCCAAAUCAUUUGUGAUCAAGUGAUUUCAAGCAAUACUUUUUAUAUGAAAUCCUCCUUUUCUAAAUAUUUCAGUUUUGUGAGUUCGAGUGAGUUUCUGUCUUCCAACAAUAUAUAGGGUGCAAAACUGUGGAAUUUUGUUUAUAUUUUUUCAAUUAGAUACAUCAAAAUAGGAUUUUUAUUGACUCAACAUAAAUGCUUUAAUGGUGAUAUGCGAUGAAGGCAUGAUUGCUUUCACGGUGAUUAUUCACUUGCUAUUUAUCGUCCGAUCUGAGAAUAAGUAAAUUUAAUUUUCGGUACACUAAUUAAAACAGUAUAAGAGCUUGUGAGUAUCAAAUCGAAUAAAUCAUAUACUCCAACCUGAAUUAAUUUAGAUCGACAUUUCCCCACUUCAUUCGGUGUGCCUAAUAAUCUGGGAAUUCGCCGUAGUGGGGGGAAAACAAGGAGAAACAGUCAUGUCCUCCUGACAUCUAUUUUGACUCCGUCUUAAGGUUCUUCUCAAAUAACAAAGCAUUCACCGACAAUUUCGAAUUCAGCAACACGAUGUAUCCCUAAUGGGCCUCUAUUCAGUCAAUCUCAUCAUAAUGGGCUUAGUAAUAUGGGCCUCCAACAUGGUAACUUCUUCAUGAGGUAACUAGUAAUUAAAUCUCCAUGGUCAGAUUAGUUAAGUUAUUAUUGUUCAUCAUACUUGUUAUAAUAUUAGAUAUAUAUUAUAAUUCAACAUUAUCUUACAUUCAUCUCAGAUUCUCAAUCGUCUCCAUCUCAAUCAAUUAGUACUACAAAUUAAAUGCUUUAAUUAUUUAGAUUUAUGACUUAUUUCUUUGUUUUGUAAAAUUCUCCUCUAAUACACUUACAAAGUUCUUGACAUUCGGAAAUAAGUAAGUGGCAUGAACUCUAUUUUAAAAUACUUCAAACAUGAACACAUUUAUAUGAUUUAUAUGAGAUGUAUUACUUAUUCUGACAAAUGUAUAGCUUGUUCAUCGUAUUUGAUGGAAUUUAGCCAAAAGAAUUAUUGUUUGAUUUUGAUUAAUUAGAAUUUUUGAGUUUACAUUUUUUUCUAAAUUACAAAACAUUGAAUUUGAUUUCGAAUUUUAUAUAAAUCAUAAUGAAAAAUGAAUGUCAAUGAGUGUAUAAUGAUUGUACAAAGUACGUGGCUUUUUGUUUUAUUUAAAUUUUGAGUUGUUUUGGAUAUUAAAAAUUUUGAAUAAUAAAAAGUCAAAAGACAGAUUAGAUACUUUGUUUAAGAAUGUUAAGUAUUUGUAUUUUUUUUUAAUAUUCUUACUUUACUUUUGCAGCAAACAAUUAAGAAAAUGCUCCAAGACUGAUUCAUAUACCUCUUUAAGGGUAAUAUAAACUACAUCUUAUUAAGUUUAUGCAAUAUUUGUAUUAUGUAUUAUAAAUAUACAAAUAAAAUUCAUUUAAUCAUUUGAAUUAUUGCAUGCAUAGUAACAUUUAUCGGAUAUAGAUAAUUUCCACAAGAACCUUUUUAAAAAACUUGAAUUUAAAAAAUUUCUUCCAUUUGAAGGUGUUGCACAUAUUUGAAUAUGAAAAGAUAUAGUAUAGGAAUCACUAUAUCACUAUACAUAAGAUAUAAUACACCAAUACACACUAGAAUAUGGAAUAUAUUGAUGCACUUGGACACAUUAAAUUAAGACUUUCAAUUACUAAGCAUAAUUGCUUUGAUGGUGAUCGAUAUGCAGGGAAUAAUAUCUGAGAAUGCAGCGCAGGUUCUUCACAUUUACUAAUUACUACUACUUCAACAAACUUUUGGAGUUGUAGUUUCCUCUUACCAAUACUACCUUAUGAGCGGAAAAUUAUUUAAAUUUUUCAUUAGUGAUUUCUUCUUUGAAAUUCCCUAUGCAAGUUAUCGUGUUCCUUUUAAGACCAGCCUUGUAUUCACUGUAACAAAAAGCCCUAAAGAUGUAAAUAAAGCCCUUUCGUUUGCAACUAGUGAUAUAAAGCUUACUUCUUGCACAUGUAGCAUUGUUGCGCUGCUUAGCC
rnacentral:lncRNA from 1 species